AUUGUGCAAUGGAAAAUGGUAAUAAAAUGAUAAAUUUUUGGGUAAAAUAAAUGGAGAAAACAAGAUUUGCUAUCUAAUAAUCAUGAGAGUUUGCAAAACACUUAAAAUUUUCAUUAUGCACACAAUGCUCUCGACACAUAGAAAUCGUGCGAUUUGUGUGUAUGUAUGUGUCUCUUGCAUGAGUUCAAAUCACUUUGACACGAUUUUAUAAGCUCUCGGCGGGUCCGAAACAUAAAACGCUUGAAUGCUCAUUAUUAUUAAUUUAUACACACAGUGCCAGCGAUUGGCCGUAGUUCGGCUACCCCAUGUAAUGGUUGAGCACCAGUUUAAAUUUGGACUAUGAUGGAUUUCACAUGAAUAAAAUGCACGGACGUGUUUGACAAUUCACAUCUCUGACAUCCAAAUGAAUCUAAAGCGUGCGUUUCAUUUUUAUGACAAAUAACCAAACUCAAUGCAAGCAUUUUAUUUUCGUUUUUAUUCUUAUUUUGUUUUUCAAGUAAUAUGAAUUAUUAACAUCUGCAAAAUGUUUUUCCCGGCAAACUGAAUAAAUACAGUAUUUAGCGUGUUUUUUUGAAUAGUUGUAGCGGCAGCAUCAAUGACAGCAUCUCAUAUAUAUUGCAAUUUAAAUAGAUUUUAUUUCGAGAAUAGCGCGUGCAUCGCAAAGAACGACCCCAAAAAAAAACAACAAGGAAACAAGAACUUUAAGCAUUCACGUACGUUCAAAUGUAAUAUUUUACUACUUUUGUAUUGUUGUUCGCCGAACGAAUGAGCGAUGCGAUCGGCGGCGCAUUUACAACCCAUGCAUACAACGAAACAAUCGUUCCUCGUUUAACAUAUGGAAUUUUGUGUGCAUGUAUGGAUUUUGUUGUUGUUUUUGAAAGAAAAUAUUUGUUGAAAUAUUGCAAACCAACAACUCUGAGAAGAGCGUAUGUGCUUUGCAAAUAUUCGAAAGUUAAAAGAUGGCAUAUACGAAACACUUUAUGGUUACGUUACGAAAUAUGAUGUAUUUAUUUGAUGUGGUUGAGUUUAAAUUACGUGCCAUUGUUGUAUUUUCCUGGUUUUAUGUAACAUCGAAUAAAAGUUGUUAGAUUCUAUCCAUCCUUUGUGUGGCGCGUUUUUGUGUUUUUUGGUCCACGCGCCAAAAAUUCGAAAUACAAAACGAAUAAAUGGAUCCAUUGAAAGUGGCGAAAAACAUAGACGCAUGCACUUCAAAAGAGAAGCAAAUGAAUGAUAUAACGGGAAAGAGGAUCAAGAGUGGGAUGUGAAAAGAGCUAAUAUUUUGAGACACAAAGACGGGAGCACAAAGAAUGAGUAUGUCAUGUUUGUGUCGUAUAAAUAUCAGCAAUGCAGCGAUGUAUAUUUAUGAGCUGCAUUUCAUAUAGUAGUUACAUAUUCUAGGCGAACAACAAACCAUGGAAAAACAAACAGAGAAAAACUGAACAGCAUAUUUCACAAUAAAUGAAGAUAAGCUAUGCACAUCAGACCCGAAUGCAAUUUCGUUACCGAUUUUUUUGCAUCGAGACAUGUUUUGGUCCUUUUUGGGAGGUAACUCAUCAAUACCGGGUGUCGUUCAAAAGCGUCUAGUUGUUUGAAGUUAUUUCGACAAAAUAAAAAGGACCAUUUCAAUUGGAGGGACGAACGGAUGCCUUUUAGCUUGAUUGUAUCACAGCUGUGGAUGACUUUUCACUGAAAAAUGGAUUAGCUGAAGCAGGCAUAAAAUGCACCCUUUAAACUUGAAAAUCCUUGUGACACACACAUAAGCUUCGAAAAAGGAAAAAAAGCCACUAAACAAACUACUAAAACUGCAACUGAAAUAAUGUAGUCAAGCGAAUGGUGUAUGUCUCUCUGUGUGUAUACCAGUAGGUUAUAUAUUUCUGUAUAUUUCAUAAUGUAUGCGAAGAAUUCCUACACGAAUUUCGAAAAUUUAUCCCAUUUAAAUUGAAAACGAUUAUCUGUCUCCCUUUUACACUGCAUUGUUCAUCCAUUUUAGCCCGGUUUUUUCGUUCAUAUCUUAUUUGGCGCUUUUUUCAUUUUCAUUGUUUCCUGUCUCUCAUGAAUGCUGUUCGCAUGAAUUUAUCACUUUCCUGACAAUGCAAUUUUACGUUGAUAUAUUCACCACAAAUGCAUGUCACUUUGUUGUGCAUGCAUUGUGUAUUUUAUAUGCAUAAGUAUCACGAUAAGUAUAUGUAUUAUAAAAUGAGAACUGUUGCCAUCGAGUUUAUUUUUUUAACCACAUUUUUUUUCGAAACAUUUCCAACCAAAUUUGAUGUGGCUUUCCGCGAAUAAAUGUUUACAUUUUGUGUUACCGUCGACCGUCGACCGAAAUGAACUUUCAUCAAAAUGUAUAAAAGCAAAUUGAUAUACAGCAUACUUAACCAACCAACGCAUUGACUUUUUACGGAACUGGUAUCUUGUUGCUAUGAUAGCAAAAAUAAUAUUAUGAUAAAUCUGGUUUUUAACAAAAGUAUUGGAAGAACGAAAUACGGGGAACUUUAAAUAAUCACAAAAACAUUCGUUUUUUUUAAAUUAUAUAUAGUAUUCACUAAAAAAACAAAGAAUUUUUUUCUUGGACAUUCAUAUGAACAAGAUAUAAUAAUUUAAAUGGCCAGCGGGUCACAAUGAUUGAAUUUGUGUGUAGUAAUAUAAUUAAAUUAAACUACAUCAUUUAAUAUGCCUAUUUGAAUGCAAUAAACAUCGGUAUAGUACAAAUAAAUAUUGUGUCACAUGAUAAUUGGAAAUGAAUUUAUAUUGAGCUAACUAUUCCUUUGAAGUGAGAUGAAAUAGCCAGCUUUUUGGUACAUUUAAAUUUUCAGUAAAAAAACGAUUCAUCUACGUUGAAAAGUAUAACAAAAAUUAAGUUUAAUAUUGCUUAUAUUGUGGGAUAAUGCAGAGUGAGUAAAUGUCAACUUCAGCAAAUAGAUUGUGUCUACGUUCAUAAUUGUAUCAUAAAGCAGCUGUCCGUACUAUAGCCACAAUCUAUACACUGGUCAACUCUUAUUACUUUUACUCUCGGAAUCAUGCGGUUCGUCAUCAGACUCCCCUGAUCUUCAGACUCAAGUGAAUCGACUAGUUGUGGCCGCAGUGAAAAAACAUCAUAAUCGCAGAGUGGCAGUAGCAUCGUCAUUGCAAUUGAAAAUUCUUUUGUCUACUAUUAUUCAAAUCUUGUAUCGAUUUUUAUUGAUCACAGCAUGGUAAUUGUGGGGCGCUGUCAAUAUUCUAAGAGAAAAAUAAGUUUGAAAUGAAUUGAAAAUCUUGAAUAACUGAUUGGAAAAAUGACAGGAUUGUGUGGUGCGUCGAACAGUUGCGAUGAAAAUAAAGAUGAUAUUGAUUUGAUACGAAAGGCGCUUUACACGCAAUAAAACUUCUGAAGAUUUCAAAGAAUCCGAUUCAUUGCAUGAAGCAUUCCCUCGAUUGAAAACUCUUUGUGACUACGUUGAUUCAGCCGAAAUGAAUUCUGAUGAAAAUAAAAUUCCAAUAGGAUACGGUAAAAGCUGCAAUCGCUGUGGCUGCACACAAGAACAACAUCAACCGAACAAGCUACCGCAUUAAAGUAAUGUCUCAAUAAACGCUGAACCACACGAAAAUCUGUUCAAUUCUGAAACUUUAUGGGCGUUAAGCAAUAAAAAAAAUAUUCCAUACACAGUAAGCGAUUAAGAAAUGCUCAUGUAAUUUCUCCGUUUGACGGUUUUAUUUUGAAAUAAUGACCAUAAAAUCAACAAUAAAAUUAUCACGACUUA